rnacentral:rRNA from 1 species
CGUUGUCCGGAUUCAUUGGGCGUAAAGAGCUCGUAGGCGGUCUGUCGCGUCGGCUGUGAAAACCCGAGGCUCAACCUCGGGCCUGCAGUCGAUACGGGCAAACUAGAGUACUGCAGGGGAGACUGGAAUUCCUGGUGUAGCGGUGAAAUGCGCAGAUAUCGAGAGGAACACCUGCGGCGAAGGCGGGUUGCUGGGCUGACACUGACGCUGAGGCGCGAAAGCUAGGGGAGCGAACGGG